UCUAGGUAGAUUAAUGAAGGAAUUAUUUGAUAUAUAAAGACUUACGCAUUAAUAACCUAACAAUUACAUUUAGCACGUGUGUGAACAUCCAUUUACGCAUACUUGCCUAUGUACCAUCCACUCGUGUUUAUCUGUUGUUGUCGUCCAUUUCCUUAAACCCCCAAAAAACUGCUAACUGCAAAAUGCAAAAUUCACGUAUCGUUUCCAUCCAUAUCUCUCACUUAGGCGACGUCUAGUUAUUGUUGUUUCUUAGUUUUGUGUGUUUUUAGACAUCUAGCGUUGCGCCAGCAGCGCAAUCAAAAUCCUUUCGAACCCGGAUGCUUCAGACAAGACUUCGCUUCGUUAGUUCUCACCGACCCCAAACGUCGGCGACAGCGAGCGUGAUGAACCUGCCCACUCACUUGUUUCUGCUAUUCGUUGUCGCUCGAGGUCGGCUGGCGUUCACUUGUUGUUCGGCCAAUUCGUUCGCCUGGACCUUCUCUCUCUCUCUCUCUCUCUCUCUCUCUCUCGGUCAUGGCUCUAUUUCGGAAUUUACCGCUCAGCCAACGCCGUGAUCGCGUGGCAGCUUAACCGGCUGACUUGGCCCUACAGUCAGACUGUUAGCUCAGUGGUGGCCAGAAAGAGUGGAAACGCGGCACCCGCAAGGGGUUCAAACCCCCGACAGAAUUCUAGCGUCAACGUGAAACGGCAACAUCGCUUUCGGGACACAAUCGAAGCCAGCCAGAUGAACCUAAGCGUUUCUUCAGAAGAAGGACUUUGCGCCAUUAACUUCGUCUUCACUCGAAUUUUUUUACCGUUUACCAUUAUCCUCCCGAUGGCAUUAAUGGUGCCGUUGCUGGUGACCAUGCUGAAGGAAGUGGUGAUGACGACGAUGAUACGUAGCCACUAGUAGUCUUCGGAGGUCCAGGGAUCUGCUUAUGCUCUUCGAUGGGCACCCGGUAACUUUACUCGUACACACCUCACUCGUGUCGUCUACGCCUGACAACAUCGAAGCAAAAGUAUUGGAAUUUAAAUAGCCAAUUGCACUAAUCUGUUGCUAAUUCCAUGCUGAUUAGUUCCUAUGUCUUUAAGAUCGGCGGAUGAAAAAAGAGGGCACAAUCGUAUUGAUGAUCACGUUUUUUAGUGCGUCUUUUGUGCUAUCCUUGUUUCAUAUCUUCUUCGCUAGUUUAUCCUUCACAAUAGCAAGGUCCUUUUUGGACAGGCCUUUAUUUUAACGUACGUAUUGUCUAUCGGCAUGUCAGUGCGGUCACUUAGAAGCUUCGCUAAUUAUUUAGAUCGUUUUUUAUUCGAUUAGAUUAAUUUUAUAUGAUAGCUUGCAGCUACAGGUGCGCAACAAAUCCGAAAACGAUCGGGCUGGGCGUCACUUAACACAUACUGCCGACAGUUACCGCUCGAACAAGAAAUUGUGUCCAAAAAGCCCCCUAGUGACAAUUAUAGAACCUACACAGCGAAUAAGUCCGCGAAUAAUUUCGAAUUUCGCGCAGCAUCGACAACGAGAUAAUUGCUAGUAGAGUAAAUAAUCGCCUAAACAAAUCGACGACGACCAGUUUCCAAAGCUAUUUGUAGGCCAUAAAGUACAGAUAUACAGAGAAAUAAUUCUAAACGUUUUGCUUCUAUCGUUCGCAGCUUCCCAUCCCAUUUACAUUCUUUAUAUAAUGCGGAUUGCGCAGUUAAGGGCACCCACCAUUCGUUUUUUGCUUGUCUCGUUCGGGAGCCAUAUAGAUAACAGUUUAAGCUCAUUAUUCUGAUUGAGCUAACUUCACUGGAUCUUGAUUAUUACUAGUUGAGUUAACAUAAGUAUAAGCAUGACGUAAAACGUGCCGACCAUAUGGAUCCGUGUAAUACGUAACCCUAAUUAGGAUUGGGAAAAACUUCUGGAUAAGCUACCACGCCGUCGUCUAUUCUAUAACUUGGUUUAUUUCACGGCUUUGAACAGUUCAUGAUUUGUGUACUGCUGCAAAGUCUACUUGAGACGCUCCAGUAGCGCUGCGAAACGGACGUCGUGAAUAGGAAAAAAUCGAUAUAUUGUGUAAGAUUUCGGAGAUUCAGUCAUUGCGGCCUUGUUCCGAACGGUGUCUGUUUGAAAAAGCGGCUCCCCGGUCGCUAUGAUUUUUUUGUUGAUAUUUUCGCUAGCUAAUCUAUAAAGGUUUUGUUUGGUGGCGGUUCGGGGCCCGUUCACCGAAACAAGGUCCGGCCUCCGGGACGGUUUCUGGAGAAAGUUCAUCUACACCCAGAACAGGUCACACAUAUGGCCGCCACUAACGAAUACAUCACGUAGAUUGCAUUCGUCUACUGAGCGAGAGUCACUCUCUCGCUAGAACUACUACGUAGCGAAGGCACAUAUACUUGCUAAUUGAUCCAAAACGAGUGGCUUUUUUCUGGCUUUGGUCAGGUAAUGGCGACUGCAGAGGGCAGGUUCGUGGGCGGCUUAUCGGCCUGCUUGUCGGCUUGUUGCUGCCGCUAUGGCAGCCACUAGCGCUGUCGAGUUCGGGGCGUCGUAAGUGCUUGCUGAAACAGUGGAGUGCCGUCGCAGGGUCUGGGAAUGAACGGAGCUAAAGAACAGAACGCUUGUGAGUGCUCCCGACUUAUUGGCCGGCCCCUAACUGCGAAUAUCGAAAGGAGAAUUCGCUCAAGAGUAGACACCAAAGCAGAAACAGCGGUUUCUAACGCGACUGCCGCGUGGCGUAGCCAGUGGCUGAACAGGUGAAUGCGUUGGCAGACUCCUGCGCCCAACUAAGAGACUGAGCGAUUGGCCGGUCAAUCGACGGUUAAUCUUCGAGAACUGGCUAGCGGUGGUCGGUUGUUGGGUUUUACUUCGGACGCAUUCCUUCGACUUCGGCCAGCCAACACUUCGUACGUCAACGUGUACCCUCUUCGCUUUUGUGUUCUUGGAUAGGUAUUCUCUUUCUCGCCGAACGCUCAUUUUGGGUACCCCUAAAUGGUGUUCUUUGCGUCGGGCGUGAAGCUGAAGCCGACCCUGCGUCACUAGUCCAAUCGACAUCUAGUACCGUAUCUACAGUGACGCGACUCGGGUUUGAGCACAAGCUGACGAAUUGGCAAAACGUGUUGAAGGCUGUCCAUGUCGCAAUACGUUUACUGUCUUUUUGUGUUUCUUGUUUUAUAUCGUGAUUCCAAAAGCGGGACGUCACUGCAACAUUUUUCAGACCGAGCUUUCGCCGGUCACAGGAAAAUGUGUGGUGUGCGAAAGACGGUACGUCACACACACACACACACACACAUCGAUACACACUUACACACACAUACGUACAACCGUAUGCAUACUUAUAUACUCAUAGGCAUAAGGUCCAUCUACCGAAUAGUAGGCGCAGACCAGGAACUAGCUGUCACCAAGGCGACAUUCAGUCGCUUUCCACUGAUCCUAGUAUAGCGGUAUAACUCCGUCGUUACAAUCUCUAAAUGUGGAUCAUCUCAUCGAAUCGGCUCACUAUCAGCCAUCUAGCGUCUCCUUAAAGCGAAUCUCCAAUGGAGGGUUGAGCAAAGAGUGAUUACUGUUUUUAUAUCUAUCGUUCAAACGCGCCUCGCAUGCUGCCGCUUAGCCACUUUGCGUCCAAUUUUUGCUCGCUUCUAAGGCAGUUACGUCGUGUCGCUCAGGUAGCUCUCGAACGUAUGAACAGUAGAGUAUAAGCUCAAGCAGACUGCCGCUGUCGUCGGCGCCGUCAAGUAGUCGUAGUCUCUGUUCACUGAUCGACGAACAAGAUCGCUAUGGGCAAGUACGGAACUACCGCCGAAAAUGGUUACCGUGAAAGACGUUCGCUCAUGGCUAGCCAGACCUCAUGUAACGCUUCCUGCUUGGAAGGAGGUUGAGCUUUCGGCCGUGAAAAACGGAUUACCGCUCCUGUGUUAUUUAUACCGCCACAUCAUCAAGUACCGUGUAACACAUUUGGGCUGAUUCUCAACUGCCACGUCCUUCUUCAUCUCUAUUUGUGUGGAAAACCAAGUUGGCCAUCGUGAAUUCGUCGGACCUCAAAGACUUCAUGGUCUCUCGAACGUAUCGAUCUGCAGUGGUUGUCGAACACUGCUAUCUACGAUGCAAAAUGUCAAGCCCCUGCCCCUCCCCCCACACCCAACUGCUCCUCGUCUCAGCUUCAUUUCUUGCCGAGCAAAGGCGAACUUCGUUGAGAAAAUAACUAUCGGAAGCUGAGCUUCCUCCCGCUAUGAAACGCGUCACUAUUUAAUACUGCAACUACAAUAUGAAGCGCUAUAAGAGCUACUGGCCCGCGAGAUUUUCAAAUAUCUACAAACUACUCGAUUGACUAACGCGCUGCGAAGGGCAACGAGUACUAUGAAUGAAUCACAGAGGCUUACUGAAGAAGAGUGAACAUUCUGGAAAUACCGGCCAGCACCGACCAGGGCCAUAUUACGUAAACACAUAGGGGAUGCUUAAAAAGUUACGCAUGCCGAUAAAAAUGAUGCAAAGUAGACAAAAAGGGAGCUACUUUCCAGAUAUCUAUUUUUUCAAAAAAAAAAAUUUACCGAAAAAUACCGAAUGACAUGAAGAAGUGAUUGAUCUUACGAAACCUACAGUGUUAAAAAACUGGCUUUCUUUGAGUAGAAUUCGUCCACUUCACGACUUAACUUUUUGUACACCCUAUAUAUCAAAAAGUUACAACAGGGUAAAUUAUCACAUCAUUCCGUAUCGGUCGUUGAUAGUCCGCAUAUCGAUGUGUACGCAGCGGCAAUAUCUGUCUACUUAGAUUAGACAGAGUCCAUCGACCAGGCAGUAUAUUAAGCAAACUCUCUCGCUGUAGUUCGUUUUUGUUUUUGAGCAGCAUGUGCUUCACGUUUACAGACGCAGCACAGACAUAGUACUCUAAUUAUAUGCACUGCGGUUUGUCGUUUACAUGCAGUUAUCGUCGUGAAUGUGACAAGCGACACGUCCAUCAUCAACGCAAAUGGCAGAAUCACAGUAAGAGCACUCAGAAACGGCAAAAGCAGAAGACGAAAGCGACCGUUUACGCCCGCGCCAGGUUUAUGAUUCGAUUGUGGCUGCAAGCGUGCCACCGACACGAUCAACAACCACUAAAAGAUCGCUAGGACCAGGACAUGUCGGUCAGCGGCGUACAAUAGCGUUGGCACCACCACAUUAUUGACAAAUUCGUAGCAAGGGGGCCGAUCCAUCUCUUCUCUCUUCAGUUUGUUUUACUCGAUUUCGAUCCUUUGCGAAAUCGCUGCUGCUGGUGCCGCUGCCAUUCAGCUGGCCCGUGAGUAACACUCGUAGUAGUUGUAGAGCAUAGUUGUGAUUAUAACGAUUGGUUGCCACCGCUGCCGUUGUUCUCCUGACGAAUACGUGCACACGCAUCGGUCGUCUAUCGGUCUGGCGGCGGCCGCCGCCGCCGCCGCCGUAGCCGGUCAGUCGAGUGCGUUCUUCCGACCGGAUAACAACAACGAAAGGACAGCGACGAUCCCGCACAAACAGCUACAGAUCUUCUAUGACAUCUACCUUUUUGCACUGCUACUAUUACCCUUGCGACGUCUGACUUCAAUAGCGUCCCACGCGUCGGUCUAUCGCCAUCGCCGUUCAUACAGUUGCAACAGACUACACAGAAAGACCAGCCAGUCGCUUGUUGUUAUUGAUGCUAGCUUCGCGCUGCUGCGAAGUACGUAGCGUCAGACCGAAGUACUUGCGGCGAACUCCGCUUGCCGUAUGCUGGACACUGCUAGCGCGUGGGAAAGGGGAGAAGAAACAGCAGAUAAACAGCCACGCGUACAUUGUCCAAUACGCGAGCUGUUGCCACAUCUGUCACAUCAUCGUUUGAUCGACCGCUGUUACAUUUUCGUUACUAUUGCGAUUACAGAUUUACUAUCGAAGAUUAUCGGCGUGAGAUACGUAUAGUAACUCCAAAAUAGUCGGUUGUUUUAGCGAAAAAAAGGCCGCGUUUCAACUCGCUCGACGAUACUGCGAAGCAGAAGCAAUCUUCGCUUAGGACAGCAAAGUCAAGCUGCAGGUUAUUAAGCCCACCAUCAGCGUAUGCUUCCUAUAAUUGGUUGUUGAUCAUCACGACUCAAAACUAUGUCAGUAUCAGCAAUCCUCAACACACGGUCAAGCAGACGAUCUCGUUUCUUUCUAGGCGGUCAUGGCAUGCCCGCCAUACUGCGAAUGCUACGAAUGGAUGUAGACGCAGUUUACGACGAAUUUAGAUCUUAGGCUCGGGUCCAGCUUCCUCUGAACAUCGUCGCCGGAUACGUUUUACCUCCUUUAAUAAACGCGAAGUAUUCACGUGAAUAAGAGGCCAGAUAAGUUUUACUUAUAGAAAUAGUAGCUAUACCUUAGGUAAAAGCCUCUGCAGCAUCCGACGGCGGCAAGGACAGUGCAACCGUCUUGACAUCCAUGAGAUAUCAGCAUGAUACAAUACAUCAAACGCCAUUUUCGGAAAGAAAGCUCUUCAUGUUUCUAUAUUUACCUGUUACGUCGACGACCUACUAGGUGGCCUAUCCUGUCUCAUCCUGUACCAGUUCGAACGUUCGUGGUGACGAACGUUACACCAAACAAAGAGAACACCGAAUACACAUGUCAAAUAUAUGUUAGAACAUAAGUUCGAAUUGAAAAGCAAGCCGUUCGAUGAACGAUCGACGACCGUCGAUGGCUAGCGACGACCCGACGUAAAACUUGACGCUUUAAAAUGACAAAUGGUGUAACGUUAUUUUUGCACAUGCUUGACUGCCGCGGCACGGAAGUGGGUAGGGCACCAAACUCAACUAUCACUUGAGACUUAUGAAGUUUAUCAAAUUAGUUAAGGUCUUUAUUUCCGCUCGUCGUGCCGCUACGAAUGACUGGUGCAAAUACAAUUCAUCAUACCCCUGAGCUGUAAUAUAUUCAAACAGUUUCCUCGGUGCUACAGACAUGAUAGUUUGUUGGGGCUGCACUCCCUUUUGUAGGUGCGGUUACAGCCCUCACAAAAAGAUAUUCCACAUUUAUAAGUAGGAGGUUUCGAAAUUCAACGCCAAUUCUGAAACUUAAGUGGCAGUCUUCAUUUUAUUGCUGAGGCUUGAAACCUGUGUAGAUGUGGUACCUUCUCAACUUCAGUAAACAGCACUUGCGAAUGGAUGAGGCCGAACAGUAACAGGUCAGCAACUAAAAACACAUACACGCCAUUUGCUAUCGAAGUUAGCUGUAAAAGUAACAAGUAAUACGGAGUGCAAGGAUUUAUGGAUAGUAUUUUUCUCGUGAACUUUUUUAAAAAUUCAUCCACAUUCUAAGGGUGGAUCCGUCCCUCGGAAGCAAGCUAUCUUCCUCCCUAACUGAGUGCCUUUUAGACAACCAUUGAGACUAGCGAAGUUUCGACGAUAACAUACGAAAAAUAGAGAACAUUUAGCUUUUAAAAACGCUUCUGGACAUUUCCUAAUGUACGCCGGCGGAAAACGUUCUUUUUUGCGGUGAUGCGACGGAAGAGUCGCACAGUUUAUGAAUGCAAAAACUUUAGACAUGUAUUUAAUAGCUGAUAGUGUUAGCUACGAUAAGCUUACCGUACAAUGGCAAUACUGUAACAGACAAUCCGGUAGGCGGUAGCUAAAUUCACUUGUGUCGCAGUACACAUAUGUGCAGCCUUACAUCAUGUUGCAACGGUAGACCUCACUCCAGCAGGCCAAGGUCUACAAGAUUUAUCUACCUGGAAGAUUAGACCAUCAGGAGGACGAUCGUGCGAUACUUAACCAAAAAGAGCUGCGUCCACACCGUUACCGAGUUGACGCUAUGACUACGAGCAAUCAUCGGUUUCCGGUUCUUCAAAUACAAGCGAAUCGGAUAUUCGUGGACUAGUCCGCUUAACCGUGCGAAGCUAUUUUUCAUAUUUAUACGUAAGGGGCCAGCUAAUUCGUAUUAGUUUUCCUUAGCUGCGCUCUAUAUGUUCAAAAAAAUAACUGCAAGCCUUGAAAUAAAGCUUCCUUCUAUGUCUGUAUCGAGUGUUACACUCCUGUACGCUGUACGCCCUAUAUCCAAGAUGUAAAAUUAUCUGCUUUGUAAAUUCUAGUUGGACACCUGACUUGUAUUCAACCAAAGAACUUUAAUAACAGACA